rnacentral:rRNA from 1 species
UUAGAUUAAGUUAUUAAGGGCGCACGGUGGAUGCCUUGGCACUAGAAGCCGAUGAAGGACGUUACUAACGACGAUAUGCUUUGGGUAGCUGUAAGUAAGCGUUGAUCCAGAGAUUUCCGAAUGGGGGAACCCAGCACAAGUUAUGUUGUGUUAUCGACAAGUGAAUUCAUAGCUUGUCAGAAGGCAGACCCGGAGAACUGAAACAUCUUAGUACCCGGAGGAAGAGAAAGAAAAUUCGAUUCCCUGAGUAGCGGCGAGCGAAACGGGAAGAGCCCAAACCAAUAAGCUUGCUUAUUGGGGUUGUAGGACACUCUAUACGGAGUUACAAAGGAAUAUAUUAAACGAAUCAUCUGGAAAGUUGAAUCAAAGAAGGUAAUAAUCCUGUAGUUGAAAAUAUAUUCUCUCUUGAGUGGAUCCUGAGUACGACGGAGCACGUGAAAUUCCGUCGGAAUCUGGGAGGACCAUCUCCUAAGGCUAAAUACUCUCUAGUGACCGAUAGUGAACCAGUACCGUGAGGGAAAGGUGAAAAGUACCCCGGAAGGGGAGUGAAAGAGAACUUGAAACCGUGUGCUUACAAGUAGUCAGAGCCCGUUAAUGGGUGAUGGCGUGCCUUUUGUAGAAUGAACCGGCGAGUUACGAUCUGAUGCAAGGUUAAGCAGAAAAUGUGGAGCCGUAGCGAAAGCGAGUCUGAAUAGGGCGUAUAGUAUUUGGUCGUAGACCCGAAACCAGGUGAUCUACCCAUGGUCAGGUUGAAGUUCAGGUAACACUGAAUGGAGGACCGAACCGACUUACGUUGAAAAGUGAGCGGAUGAACUGUGGGUAGCGGAGAAAUUCCAAUCGAACUUGGAGAUAGCUGGUUCUCUCCGAAAUAGCUUUAGGGCUAGCCUCAAGUGAUGAUUAUUGGAGGUAGAGCACUGUUUGGACGAGGGGCCCCUCUCGGGUUACCGAAUUCAGACAAACUCCGAAUGCCAAUUAAUUUAACUUGGGAGUCAGAACAUGGGUGAUAAGGUCCGUGUUCGAAAGGGAAACAGCCCAGACCACCAGCUAAGGUCCCAAAAUAUAUGUUAAGUGGAAAAGGAUGUGGCGUUGCCCAGACAACUAGGAUGUUGGCUUAGAAGCAGCCAUCAUUUAAAGAGUGCGUAAUAGCUCACUAGUCGAGUGACACUGCGCCGAAAAUGUACCGGGGCUAAACAUAUUACCGAAGCUGUGGAUUGUCCUUUGGACAAUGGUAGGAGAGCGUUCUAAGGGCGUUGAAGCAUGAUCGCAAGGACAUGUGGAGCGCUUAGAAGUGAGAAUGCCGGUGUGAGUAGCGAAAGACGGGUGAGAAUCCCGUCCACCGAUUGACUAAGGUUUCCAGAGGAAGGCUCGUCCGCUCUGGGUUAGUCGGGUCCUAAGCUGAGGCCGACAGGCGUAGGCGAUGGAUAACAGGUUGAUAUUCCUGUACCACCUAUAAUCGUUUUAAUCGAUGGGGGGACGCAGUAGGAUAGGCGAAGCGUACGAUUGGAUUGUACGUCUAAGCAGUGAGAUUGAGUGUUAGGCAAAUCCG